rnacentral:rRNA from 1 species
AGUGAACGCUGGCGGUAGGCUUAACACAUGCAAGUCGAACGGCAGCACAGUAAGAGCUUGCUCUUACGGGUGGCGAGUGGCGGACGGGUGAGGAAUACAUCGGAAUCUACUUUUUCGUGGGGGAUAACGUAGGGAAACUUACGCUAAUACCGCAUACGACCUACGGGUGAAAGCAGUGGAUCUUCGGACCUUGCGCGAUUGAAUGAGCCGAUGUCGGAUUAGCUAGUUGGCGGGGUAAAGGCCCACCAAGGCGACGAUCCGUAGCUGGUCUGAGAGGAUGGUCGGCCACACUGGAACUGGAACACGGUCCAGGCUCCUACGGGAGGCAGCAGUGGGGAAUAUUGGACAAUGGGCGCAAGCCUGAUCCAGCCAUACCGCGUGGGUGAAGAAGGCCUUCGGGUUGUAAAGCCCUUUUGUUGGGAAAGAAAAGCAGCAGGUUAAUACCCCGCUGUUCUGACGGUACCCAAAGAAUAAGCACCGGCUAACUUCGUG